rnacentral:lncRNA from 1 species
GCCUGCCUGCCUGCCUGCCUGCCUGCCUGCCUGCCUGUGCCAAGAAGCCUACCCGAAUCGAGGGAAGAGAGAACGAUGCCCGGGAGCGCCUUAACUUCACGCCGGGCGCAAGGGCGGAAGGGGGCCGAUUGGUUGACAGCCGGCUGCCUUGCCUUAAGAAGCAGGGCGUCUGAUGUCAAGCCGCCUCUCCCUCUGCCGACUGCCUGCCUGCCUGCCUGCUGCCUGCCUGCCUGUGCCAAGAAGCCUACCCGAAUCGAGGGAAGAGAGAACGAUGCCCGGAGCGCCUUAACUUCACGCCGGGCGCAAGGGCGGAAGGGGGCCGAUUGGUUGACAGCCGGCUGCCUUGCCUUAAGAAGCAGGGCGUCUGAUGUCAAGCCGCCUCUCCCUCUGCCGACUGCCUGCCUGCCUGCCUGCCUGCCUGCCUGCCUGUGCCAAGAAGCCUACCCGAAUCGAGGGAAGAGAGAACGAUGCCCGGGAGCGCCUUAACUUCACGCCGGGCGCAAGGGCGGAAGGGGGCCGAUUGGUUGACAGCCGGCUGCCUUGCCUUAAGAAGCAGGGCGUCUGAUGUCAGUGAGUGGGGCGGUUUCGUUGGGGGCGAGAGGCCUGGCCGACCUUGCGAGGGUCUUCCCACGCCCCUGGUGCAUUUCAACGUGCGGCGAGGGUGA